AAGCGUUUUAGUGAUCGUCAGUCAUUGUACAGGAUAAACUGUAAGUUAUAUUUGUUCCGUAGGUACUUUACGACAAUUCCCUAAUGAUAGAUUGUCAAAUUAAUUUGUAGAAUAAUUCGUGUAAUAUAGCAUCAUAUUUUUCUAACCACUCACUCAACAUGGGAACGGAACUGACGAUGCCCCUAAACGCACGAAUGAUGUUCAAUAAAACCAAAUUGUUUGACGUAAAUGCAUCGAACUCGAAAGUUGUCUUUUGAUACUUGUCUUGGAAAAUAUAACACAUUGUUGGAUCGUUUUCAUGGAAUGUCGAAUUGCUGUGACAUAUCUGAUCACUCAUUGAAACCUAUCCUUUCAUGGUAUAGAUAACUUAAAGUGAUACCUAACACUACAGGGAUAUAACUCUGUAAAGUCAGCUUAACAUUUUAAUUGCGUUGUGUUGUAAAGGGAAUAUUAAGCUUCUCAAUGGUCAAAAUUGGUGUUUGUUAAACUGCUAUAUAACCAAUGUAAUUUUUCUAACAAAACGGUUGGUUCAAAAUUUUUGAAAUUUUUAUAUUUCUGUUAAAGGGUCAAAGUAAAUACUUUGACAAAAUGUAAUGAAAAUUAAACGAGCCAAAUUUAUAAUAAGUUACCAAAAUGAUAACUGAACUGUUGGAAGCCGAUAUUAUUGAAACAUAAAAUUAUUUCUGCACAUCAUACCGCGCAUAUAAAGCCUAAACAAAUGGUCAUCCACCUUUAUAAAUCAGUCUAGAUUGAUCAAUGAUUGCACAAUUGCUUAAUUAUAUCAAGUUGGCACACAUGGCAUUUCUGGGUAGACAUUUCAUAGAGUUCAUGUUCAUAACACGGUAUCGAUUAGAUGCAAUUAUAAAACGCAUUAUUAUAGAAUAUAAGUAUUAAGAAUAUAUAUCUAAUUCCAUAGUUGUAUAUGUAUACUUAGUUUCAGAAAUAAUACGAACAGUUGUGCUGGUAUAUAGUAUAUUGGCUACAGUACCAAAGAUUAUGAAGGAAAUGCAUAUAUUUCAACGUAAGUGUAGUAAUAUUUAACGUUUGUUAAUAUUAUUCACAGAUGCUGUUGUACAACUACCAGGCUUCGAGGGAGAACCACAUACACAUAGGCAAUGACGAAUGUUUCAUGUAUGGAAUUUUCUAAUAUUGUAGAUAAACCAUGAGUUAUUGGAUCAUUCGUAAACGACAACGUAAACUGUACAUUUGGUCACUUAGUACAUCAUUUCCCGGGAUGAAAUCCAGAAGACACCAGAUGGUUUUGAUUCACUUCAAUGUAAUAUUAAAGAAAAUAAAGAAUAUGCAUAAUAAACAGGAA
rnacentral:lncRNA from 1 species